GAUGAAGAACGUAGAGAAAUGCGAUAAGUAGUGUGAAUUGCAGAAUUCAGUGAAUCAUCGAAUCUUUGAACGCACAUUGCGCCCCUUGGUAUCCCGAGGGGCAUGCCUGUUCGAGCGUCAUUUCACCACUCAAGCCUGGCUUGGUGUUGGGCGACGUCCUCUUUGGGGACGCGCCUCGAAACGCUCGGCGGCGUGGCACCGGCUUUAAGCGUAGCAGAAUCUUUCGCUUUGGAAGUCGGGGCCCCGUCUGCCGGAAGACCUGCUCGCAAGGUUGACCUCGGAUCAGGCAGGGAUACCCGCUGAACUUAAGCAUAUCAAUAAGCGGAGGA
rnacentral:misc_RNA from 1 species